CAGGAGGUGGGGCACCGUCCUCUCCGCGGUUUUCUGAGGCCUAAGAGCUCCAAGCCCUGCCCUUCAUGCCCUCUGCGCUAGACGUGUGGCCGCAGCCCACAGGAAGGAAUAAGACAAAGAUGCCUGCUUUUGCCACUUCUACUUAGAAUCAUUCUAGAAAUUCUAGCCAGACCAAUGAGGUCCCCCUUCUCCAGGGCUACUGCAGUUUGCUGGAGGUUCACUCCAGACCCUGUUCACCUGAGUAUCACCCAUGGAGACUGCAGAACAGCAAAGAUUGCUUGUUCCUCUGGAAGCUUUAUCCCAGAGGGGCACCCGCCUGAUGCCAGCUGGAGUUCUUCUGUAUGAGGUUGCAGGUUUUGCAGAGAAAGACCACAGAGGAAAAGUAUCAUUCUCAUCAUGUGACGUCAAGGGUGUACUCUGCCAGUUUUACUCACAACUGUUGAUGUUGACCUUGAUCACCUGGAUUUGGCAGCUUCUGUCAAGUUUCCCCACUGUAAAGGUAUCCUGUGUUCUCCUUUUCCUUAGGAUACUCUUUGGAAGGAAGCCACAAUGCACAGCCCACACAUACAGGGCUGGGAGUUACCUUCCACCUACUCGAAGGUGGAUUCUUCUGCCUGGAAGAGCUGUCUAUUGCCUCCCAUUGGUUUAUUUAUAA
rnacentral:lncRNA from 13 species